rnacentral:tRNA from 1 species
GGUAAGAUGGCUGAGUGUUUAAAGCAUUAGGCUGUAGUCCUUUUUAAGACGUUCAAUUCCUCUUCUUCUCG